rnacentral:rRNA from 1 species
AGAGUUUGAUCCUGGCUCAGAAUGAACGUUGGCGGCGUGGAUUAGGCAUGCAAGUCGAACGGACCUGGUUUUCGGAUCAGGUCAGUGGCGUAAGGGUGAGUAGGCGACGGCAACCAACCCCAUGGUUGGGCAUACCGCGAGGAAGCUGCGGAUAAUACCCAGCGAUGUUCGUGUCGGGCAUCCGGUGCGAACCAAAGUUUCGGCGCCGUGGGACGGGCCGUCGUGGUAUUAGGUAGUUGGCGGGGUAAUGGCCCACCAAGCCUUUGAUGCCUACCGGGCGUGCGAGCGUGGCCCGGCACACUGGGACUGAGACACUGCCCAGACUCCUACGGGAGGCUGCAGUCGAGAAUCUUCGGCAAUGGGCGCAAGCCUGACCGAGCGACGCCGCGUGGAGGAUGAAGGCCUUCGGGUUGUAAACUCCUGUCGAGGGGGAGGAAGGCGCAAGCUUGACCUAUCCCUGGAGGAAGCACGGGCUAAGUUCGUGCCAGCAGCCGCGGUAAGACGAACCGUGCGAACGUUAUUCGGAAUCACUGGGCUUAAAGCGCGUGUAGGCGGAUGGGGACGUCGGUUGUUGAAAGCCCCCGGCUCAACCGGGGAACUGGCGCCGAAACGCCCUGUCUUGAGGAGCGUAGGGGGACCUGGAACUUCCGGUGGAGCGGUGAAAUGCGUUGAGAUCGGAAGGAACGCCCGUGGCGAAAGCGAGGUCCUGGACGUUAUCUGACG